rnacentral:rRNA from 1 species
UGUUUGAGCAAUGGAGGGACGCAGGAGGCUAAGGAAUGCAGACGAUCGGAAAUGUCUGUCCAAGCAGUAAGUCUGAAGAGGAGUCAAAUGCUUCUUUUCUUAAGGACAAGCUGUGAUGGGGAGGGAAUAAUAGUACCGAAGUUCCUGAUGUCACACUGCCGAGAAAAGCUUCUAGUGAGAAAACAGCGGCCCGUACCGCAAACCGACACAGGUAGUCGAGGAGAGAAUCCUAAGGUGAGCGAGAGAACUCUC